rnacentral:lncRNA from 1 species
UCUCAUGUCAAAGCGAUAGAGCUCUUUCAAAAUAUAAAAUUUACCCUGGAUGGAUAGCCAACACUGAGGGGGAGGGACAUACUUCUUGACGUCUAAUCGGAAUGAUGGGAUGGGCCGUAGUCCAGCAUAUUCAGCCUAGUGUCAGUGAUAGUGAGAACUAUGAUCGUGUACGCAGCGCGUGUUAUUUGUGAAUUUAGUCGGUCUGUGUUUUUAGAUGUCCUGCUGCUAAAAAGUAAUUCCAGGUUCUGUCGAUUCUGAUGACGCGUUAAAUGGGAUUCCCCAGGGACCGUCCGUAGUUCCCGAGGGACCAGGGGCGUCCUUCUGCUCCCGCGGUGUGACGACACUGCUUUUUACGCCGUGUGGCAGGAAUCGCCAGUGAAAGAAUGUGGAAUGGAGUAUGCAGAUGAAGAGGAAAUGUAGA